rnacentral:tRNA from 1 species
GGCUUUGUAGUGUAGUGGUUAUCACUUGAGAUUCUGAUCAAUAAAGUCAUGUGACUUCUCAAAACCCAGGUUCGAGUCCUGGCAAGGCCU